UGGCUCAGGAUGAACGCUGGCGGCGUGCCUAAUACAUGCAAGUCGAGCGAACGGACGAGAAGCUUGCUUCUCUGAUGUUAGCGGCGGACGGGUGAGUAACACGUGGAUAACCUACCUAUAAGACUGGGAUAACUUCGGGAAACCGGAGCUAAUACCGGAUAAUAUUUUGAACCGCAUGGUUCAAAAGUGAAAGACGGUCUUGCUGUCACUUAUAGAUGGAUCCGCGCUGCAUUAGCUAGUUGGUAAGGUAACGGCUUACCAAGGCAACGAUGCAUAGCCGACCUGAGAGGGUGAUCGGCCACACUGGAACUGAGACACGGUCCAGACUCCUACGGGAGGCAGCAGUAGGGAAUCUUCCGCAAUGGGCGAAAGCCUGACGGAGCAACGCCGCGUGAGUGAUGAAGGUCUUCGGAUCGUAAAACUCUGUUAUUAGGGAAGAACAUAUGUGUAAGUAACUGUGCACAUCUUGACGGUACCUAAUCAGAAAGCCACGGCUAACUACGUGCCAGCAGCCGCGGUAAUACGUAGGUGGCAAGCGUUAUCCGGAAUUAUUGGGCGUAAAGCGCGCGUAGGCGGUUUUUUAAGUCUGAUGUGAAAGCCCACGGCUCAACCGUGGAGGGUCAUUGGAAACUGGAAAACUUGAGUGCAGAAGAGGAAAGUGGAAUUCCAUGUGUAGCGGUGAAAUGCGCAGAGAUAUGGAGGAACACCAGUGGCGAAGGCGACUUUCUGGUCUGUAACUGACGCUGAUGUGCGAAAGCGUGGGGAUCAAACAGGAUUAGAUACCCUGGUAGUCCACGCCGUAAACGAUGAGUGCUAAGUGUUAGGGGGUUUCCGCCCCUUAGUGCUGCAGCUAACGCAUUAAGCACUCCGCCUGGGGAGUACGACCGCAAGGUUGAAACUCAAAGGAAUUGACGGGGACCCGCACAAGCGGUGGAGCAUGUGGUUUAAUUCGAAGCAACGCGAAGAACCUUACCAAAUCUUGACAUCCUUUGACAACUCUAGAGAUAGAGCCUUCCCCUUCGGGGGACAAAGUGACAGGUGGUGCAUGGUUGUCGUCAGCUCGUGUCGUGAGAUGUUGGGUUAAGUCCCGCAACGAGCGCAACCCUUAAGCUUAGUUGCCAUCAUUAAGUUGGGCACUCUAAGUUGACUGCCGGUGACAAACCGGAGGAAGGUGGGGAUGACGUCAAAUCAUCAUGCCCCUUAUGAUUUGGGCUACACACGUGCUACAAUGGACAAUACAAAGGGCAGCGAAACCGCGAGGUCAAGCAAAUCCCAUAAAGUUGUUCUCAGUUCGGAUUGUAGUCUGCAACUCGACUACAUGAAGCUGGAAUCGCUAGUAAUCGUAGAUCAGCAUGCUACGGUGAAUACGUUCCCGGGUCUUGUACACACCGCCCGUCACACCACGAGAGUUUGUAACACCCGAAGCCGGUGGAGUAACCUUUUAGGAGCUAGCCGUCGAAGGUGGGACAAAUGAUUGGGGUGAAGUCGUAACAAGG
rnacentral:rRNA from 1 species